AGUCUGCCUUGAAGAUCGGAGUGCUUGCACUCUGUGAAACAAGAUACAGGCUAGCGGCGGACGGGUGAGUAACACGUGGGUAACCUGCCCAAGAGAUCGGGAUAACACCUGGAAACAGAUGCUAAUACCGGAUAACAACAGAUGAUGCCUAUCAACUGUUUAAAAGAUGGUUCUGCUAUCACUCUUGGAUGGACCUGCGGUGCAUUAGCUAGUUGGUAGGGUAACGGCCUACCAAGGCGAUGAUGCAUAGCCGAGUUGAGAGACUGAUCGGCCACAUUGGGACUGAGACACGGCCCAAACUCCUACGGGAGGCAGCAGUAGGGAAUCUUCCACAAUGGACGCAAGUCUGAUGGAGCAACGCCGCGUGAGUGAAGAAGGGCUUCGGCUCGUAAAGCUCUGUUGUUGGUGAAGAAGGACAGGGGUAGUAACUGACCUUUGUUUGACGGUAAUCAAUUAGAAAGUCACGGCUAACUACGUGCCAGCAGCCGCGGUAAUACGUAGGUGGCAAGCGUUGUCCGGAUUUAUUGGGCGUAAAGCGAGUGCAGGCGGCUCGAUAAGUCUGAUGUGAAAGCCUUCGGCUCAACCGGAGAAUUGCAUCAGAAACUGUCGAGCUUGAGUACAGAAGAGGAGAGUGGAACUCCAUGUGUAGCGGUGAAAUGCGUAGAUAUAUGGAAGAACACCGGUGGCGAAGGCGGCUCUCUGGUCUGUUACUGACGCUGAGGCUCGAAAGCAUGGGUAGCGAACAGGAUUAGAUACCCUGGUAGUCCAUGCCGUAAACGAUGAGUGCUAAGUGUUGGGAGGUUUCCGCCUCUCAGUGCUGCAGCUAACGCAUUAAGCACUCCGCC
rnacentral:rRNA from 1 species